CUUCUGGAAUCAAUUGGGGACAAAUGUAGUGCACGUGCGUGUCGAUUGCACCAGCAACAAAGAUCUUUCCUUCGCCAGCCAAUGCUUCAGUUGCAGCACCAACGAUCAUGCCAGGAGUGACACCAUCCAUGACGUCAGGAUUGCCAGCUUUGCCAAUGCCAACAAUCAUGCCUCGCUUGACACCGAUAUCAGCCUUGAAGAUGCCAGUAUAAUCGAUGAUAAGAGCAUUGGUGAUCACCAAAUCAAGCACCUCAUCAUCACAACGCCCUGUUGCUUGACCCAUGCCUUCACGCAG
rnacentral:sRNA from 1 species